AGAGUUUGAUCAUGGCUCAGAGCGAACGCUGGCGGCAUGCUUAACACAUGCAAGUCGCACGGGCAGCUUCGGCUGUCAGUGGCGGACGGGUGAGUAACGCGUAGGUAUCUGUCUCCGGGUGGGGGAUAACCAUGGGAAACUAUGGCUAAUACCGCAUGAUACCCGAGGGUCAAAGGCGCAAGUCGCCUGGAGAGGAGCCUGCGUACGAUUAGCUUGUUGGCGGGGUAAAAGCCCACCAAGGCGACGAUCGUUAGCUGGUCUGAGAGGAUGAUCAGCCACACUGGGACUGAGACACGGCCCAGACUCCUACGGGAGGCAGCAGUGGGGAAUAUUGGACAAUGGGCGAAAGCCUGAUCCAGCAAUGCCGCGUGAGUGAAGAAGGUCUUCGGAUUGUAAAGCUCUUUCGACGGGGACGAUGAUGACGGUACCCGUAGAAGAAGCCCCGGCUAACUUCGUGCCAGCAGCCGCGGUAAUACGAAGGGGGCUAGCGUUGCUCGGAAUGACUGGGCGUAAAGGGCGCGUAGGCGGUUUGUACAGUCAGACGUGAAAUUCCCGGGCUCAACCUGGGGGCUGCGUUUGAUACGUGCGAGCUUGAGUUCGGAAGAGGGUCGUGGAAUUCCCAGUGUAGAGGUGAAAUUCGUAGAUAUUGGGAAGAACACCGGUGGCGAAGGCGGCGACCUGGUCCGAUACUAACGCUGAGGCGCGAAAGCGUGGGGAGCAAACAGGAUUAGAUACCCUAGUAGUCC
rnacentral:rRNA from 1 species